rnacentral:miRNA from 1 species
CUUUGUAGGCUGGAUUGAA